AAAAUUGAACCGACUUCAACGUUUUUGAAUGAAGCCGUAUUCGGCUCGGAGCCACGUACGGUGUUUUAAGUCCCCAACACCCUGCCUCUCCGACAUCGUAGCCGCCGUUACCACCACCGCCAACAUCUCCACCGCAGGCAACACCUCCAUCUUCGCCACUCCAAUAAUUCCAUAGAAUUUUCCCAUGCCAUCGGAUGCUCAACUCUCUCACCACUCUGCGUCGCCACUCCCCAAACCUCCUCUCUUCUCUACACCACCUCACCACCAAAACAACAACCAUUCCUUCCCUUUCCAUCAACUCACACCUUAACCCUUCUCUUAAACCCCACCUUCUAGAACUAUCCACCGUUAUCCCCGAUAUCACGCGCCAAUUUUGGAGGGUUCCAGUUUUGAAAACCCAGCACGUGCUCCAAAUUCUACUUGGUUUUCAAUCCGAGUGUUCAAAAGUUGGUAUUUGCGUUGAAAAGGUUCGAUCUUUGUACGAAAUUUUCAAAUGGGGUGUUGAGAAAAAUAACACCCAUUUUUUGCAAUCUUACGAGGUUAUGUCAUUGCUUCUUGUUCAUGCUGGGUUGUUUACAGAAGCUGAGAAUUUGAUUACUUCAUUAGAGGGUAAAGGUGUUUCUUUAGGGGGAGUCAGUAGUGGGAUUUUUGAUAAACUAAUUGAAGGGUAUGUUAGUGAGAAGCAAUUGGAAAAAGCGGUUUUUGUGUAUGAGAAAAUGAAGGAAGGAAGAAUGGUUCCUUCGAGGUUGUCUUAUCGGGUUCUGCUUGAUUACUUGGUGAAGAUGAAGAGAACACAGACUGCGUUUCGCGUGGCGUUUGAUUUGGUGGAAUUGGGUGAGUCUUUGUGUGGUGAUGAGAUGAGAAAUGUAGAAGAUGCUAUGGUUUUGCUUUGCGUUGAGGGGAAGAUUCAAGAAGCGAGAAGCUUGAUCCGAAAGGUGUUGCGUUUGGAAAACUAUGAGGUUAGUAGCUUGGUUUUCGAUGAAAUUGCAUUUGGGUAUUGUGAGAAGAAGGACUUUAAGGAUUUGAUUAGUUUCUUUGUUGAAGUAAAUUGUAUUCCUAGUGUGAUAGCUGGAAAUAGAGUUAUGAAUUCGAUGUGUAAAAGCUAUGAUGUAGAAAGAGCGAGUUUGUUUUUGAAGGAACUCGAAAGUGUAGGUUUUUGUCCUAAUGAAGCAACCUAUGGGAUGUUAAUUGGUUGGAGUUGUUAUGAAGGGAAAAUGAAAAAUGCGUUGAGUUACUUAUCGGUUAUGCUGUCGAAAAGCUUUGUGCCGCGUUUAUGUACUUAUAAUGCUCUUAUAAGUGGAUUGUUUAAAGUAGGUAUGUUAGAGAAUGCUAAGGAUAUUCUUGAUGAGAUGAUUGAUAGGGGAAUGGUACCUGAUAUUUCGACUUUUAGGGUUCUUAUAGCGGGGUAUUGUAAGUCAAGACGGUUUGAUAAAGUGAAAAGUUUGGUUCGUGAGAUGGAGAGCCGUGGUUUGGUUAACCUUUCUUCGACGGAGAGUCCACUUUCCAAGGCGUUUCAGAUUUUGGGCUUGAAUCCUCUGAAUGUGAGGUUGAAACGAGACAAUAACAAGAAACUUUUCAAAGCAGAGUUCUUCGACGAAAUGGGGAACGGGCUUUAUUUAGAUACUAAUGUUGAUGAAUUUGAGAAUCAUGUUAAUUCAGUUCUUGGAGAAUCCGUGUUACCGGACUUCAAUUCAUCUGUUAUGAAAGAAUGCAGCAGCAAUAACAUAAAAAUUGCGCUGGUUUUGGUUGAAGAGAUGCUUUGUUGGGGCCAAGAAUUGCUUUUGCCGGAAUACUCAAAAUUAGUGAGACAACUUUGUUCAUCUCGCUCGCAAAUCACGUCAGUUAUCAAACUUUUGGAGAAAAUGCCACGGUCUGCUCGCAAACUCGAUCAUGAAACCCUCAAUUUGGUUGUUCAGGCAUACAUCAAGAAGGGUUUACUUUGCCGAGCAAAAUCUUUACUCGAUGAAAUGCUUCAAAACAAAUUUCAUAUCGAGAACUCGACGUAUACCUCCUUACUCGUACCUUUAUGUAAAAAAGGAAACAUGAAGGACUUCAAUUAUUAUUGGAACAUUGCUUGUAGAAAUAAAUGGUUACCAAAGUUGGAGGAGUUUAAACAUCUUCUCGGCCAUAUCUGCCAUCAGAAAAUGCUUCCCGAAGCAUUACAGUUUCUCGAAAUCAUGCUUUUAGCAUACCCUCUCCAAAGGUUAGAUAUAUAUCAUACAUUUCUCAAAGUACUUUCUUCUGAGGGUCUUACAGAUACUGCUCUUGUAAUUUUAAAACAACUACAAUUUUAUUCAUUCUUCGAUCAAGCCAGUUAUAAUAAUCUUAUAAGGGGCUUAUGCAACGAGAGAAAAUUUUCGCUAGCUUUUACGAUAUUGGAUGAUAUGCUACAGAGAAAUUUCGCACCUUGUUUGGAUGUUUCAGUCUUGUUAAUACCUCAACUGUGCAAGGCUCGUAGAUAUGACAAAGCUAUUGCGCUAAAAGAUAUCAUUUUGAAAGAACAGCCUUCAGUUUCUCAUUCUGCUGAUUGUGCCUUGAUAUGCGGAUUUUGUUAUUCGGGUAACAUUGAGAAAGCGGAUUCUCUGUUCCGAGAUUUAUUAUCUAAAGGACUAAUUUUAGAUGAUGAGCUUUGUAAUAUGCUCAUUCAGGGCCACUGCAAAACUAAUGACUUGAGAAUAGUGGGAGAGCUACUCGGUGUUGCGAUAAGAAAGAGUAUGGAGCUGUCACUCUUGAGUUACAAAAACUUGGUGAGAUCGAUGUGUAUGAAGGGUAGAGUCCCGGUCGCACUGAGCUUAAAGAACUUUAUGUUUGCACGAUGUUCACUUGAUGACGUUAUCGGAUAUAACAUUCUUAUUUUCUAUCUUUUGUCUAGUGGAAACCGUUCGGUUGUUGAUAAGAUACUAACUGAAAUGGAAGAGAAGAAGGUUAUACUCGACGAAGUUGGUCAAAAUAAUCUUGUUUAUGGCUUCUUGCAAUGUAAAGAUUUAUCCGGUUCUUUGCAUUAUCUGACUAGCAUGAUUUUGACAGGACUCAAACCGAGUAGUCGCAGCUUAAGGAAGGUAAUAAGCAGUCUGUGCGACGUCGGGGAAGUACAAAAAGCCGUGGAGUUGAGUCGAGAAAUGGGAUUAAGAGGAUGGAUACAUGAUUCUAUCAUCCAAACAAGAAUUGUGGAAAAUCUUCUUUCUCAUGGUUUGGUAAAAGAAGCAGAAAGCUUUUUGGACAGAAUGGAAGAGGAAUCUCUAACUCCUGACAAUAUCAAUUAUGAUUACUUGAUUAAGCGUUUCUGCCAGUACGGAAGAUUGAAAAAAGCAGUUCAUCUUCUGAACACAAUGCUAAAGAAAUCCAACAUACCGAUUUCCACCAGCUAUGAUUUUCUCAUUCAUGGAUUAUGUGCACAAAAUGAAUUAGACAUAGCUUCAAAUUUUUACUCUGAGAUGCAAAACUGGAAUCUCAAACCAAGAAUCGACACAGUGGAAAGGCUCGUGUUUAGCUUCUGCGAACAUGGGAGGACAGAACAAGCAGAACAGUUCUUAGUGGACAUGAUUCGCGGAGGCGAAACGCCAACGAGAAAAAUGUAUUGCGCAGUGAUUAAGAAUUAUCACGCGGAAAAGAAUCUUAAGAAGGCGUCGGAGCUCGUGCAAGCCAUGCAGGAAAAGGGCUACCAGCCUGAGUUUGACAUACAUUGGUCUCUGAUAAGCAACUUAAGCAAUGCCAAAGAAAAGGAUGCUUAUGAUGUUGUUCGGUGUGGUGUCAAUGUUUUCGUUAAAGUUGUUGCCCGGAUUGGAGAAGUGAGCAAAUCUCUGAAUGGUGGUUGUGCAUUGCUUCACAGUUUGAAUGGUGGUGGUAGUAGAGGCAAAAGGCAGAGACACAGGGAAGAUGUUGUUCACCCUUUGAAGGUCUCUAUGGAGGAUCUUUACCUUGGGACAUAUAAGAAGCUUUCUCUAAAUGUUGUGUUUUUGACGAUGGAAGGAGCAUCUCAAGUUCAGAAGAAGGGGUGGAAAUCUUAUUGUAGAGCACACUUUGUCCCUCACUGGAGCUUUAUGUUUGCCCUGACUCUAGCAAAGUUGCUAUUAUUGAUAUCUUUGAGAUUGAAACGCAAAGGCACUCGAACAUGAAGAAAACAGUAGAAAAAAGCUGCUAAGGAUCCGAACAAGCCCGAGUACCUUCUCUGUUCUCAUGUAACCAUGUCAAUAGCAGAUCUUGGUGGCACAAAUAUAGAUUUGAGAUUUUUCAGCUCUAAGGGAGGACACCUGUUUGUUAUAGUCACUCAUUUCCUUAGAUUCUCUGAUGGUGAGUUUUCCUGAUAAGGAGAGUGUGAUUGAAAGUGAAACACACAAAAUAUGAAAACUUGUCCUGACAUUCUAUAUUUUGUUGGUGAUAACAGUGACAAAGACAAAACUUCAUUUGCAUCAUUGUAUAAUGAAGAAACUGGAUACGCCAGGAAGCAAUUAUCUUCACCCAUGCUUGUUUUGUGUUCAAAACUGCAUAAGUACCGAUCAAAGCCAUCACUGGAUCCAUUUUCAUUUUCAAUUCAUGAAAGUGAUAAUGUUUGGACAAAAAUUGCAGUUAGUGACGGAUUAUCCACCAAAAAGGAAAACCUUGAAUUCAUGAAGUCCAAAUAUUCCAAAUGCUCAGGGAUAUACCCUAGGUUAAGUAAUCCAUGUGAAUAGAAUCCAUUUAAUCAAGUGCUUUUCAAGAAACUGAACCAAUCAUCAUCUUCUGAUCAAGUAUCAAGCAUCCUUUUGUGGAAAUAAAUAAGUCUGCGCCAAAACCUAUGUGAGACCCUAGUUUGCUCCAUGAUUCUUGAUCCCAUGCUUUUAGAUGUUUUAUUUAAUGAAUGAAUGCAAAUUCAUGUUAAUUCCCUAAUGGAGGACCCUAGUUUGUAAAGAAUGCACCAUACCAUGUGUACACCAUAAACCUCUCUACUUUUCAUCACAUGAAACCCUUCAUUUUGUCAAAUGUAUGUUGGUCAUGUGACAAUGGUUGGACCCACAUUUCUCCCCUUCCAGCCAUAAGGGAAUGACCCAUUCUUUUUCUAAUAACUUGUUUGCAAAACUCUAUCUUCUCCUUUGGUAGAGGUUUUGUCAUCAUGUCUGCCCCAUUCUUAAUCGUGUGAACUUUAUCUACUUUUAACAAUUUUCCCUCCAACACAUCACGAAUCCAAUGAUAUCGCAUGUCAAUGUGUUUUGACCUUGAAUGAUAUGUCGAGCUCUAUCGCAAUAGAGAACAUAACUUUCUUGAUUAUGGCCUAACUCUUAAAGGAACUUCUUCAUCCAUAGGAUCUCCUUAAAACCCUCAAUGAUGGCGAUGAAUUCAACUUUCGUGGUACUCAAAGCAAUGCACUUUUGUAAUCGUGAUUUCUAUGAGACACCUCCCUUGCAAAAGUAAUCAAAUACCCGAAAGUAUAGUUGCUUGAUGUUGUUCUAUUUGUCUUUUCCUGUCCCAUCACUUGAGGACAGAUAAUGGUUUAAGUUUGUGGGUGUGUUAACCCACAUUUUACGAGUUAAUACAUGCCUUUGUAGUUGUUUAUUCAGUCUUAAUAUUUUGUUUAUUUACUACAAUUUCCUUCAUUGUGAGUUUUUUAGUUGUUUUAGCUUGGAGCACAAUAGGUGCUCCAUUUAAUGGUUUAACUUGUGUUUUGUGUAUGCAAGGGUUAACAAAGUCAAUCUGAGGCAAGACUGCACAAGUCUACUGCAUGGAGCACAAGCUGAAGGAACUUGGACCAAAGAGAAUUAAUAAUGGAAGCUGCUAGCUAAUAAGGAUGGCAUGGAAGGAAGUACUAAAUGUAUGGAAAACAUGGUGGUGCUGAAAAAUGGAAGAAACUAUUCAAAUUCAAAGUAAUAGUGGAGGCGCUAGAACACAGAUGUUGGUACGAUACUACGGUACUCCUACAGAGCGCGCCACCUGCACUGUUGUGGCAGACUACCACACUACAACUUGUCUCCCACCGUUUUCUACUUUGUAGAAAAAUUCCUUGAUCCUAUGCUAUAGAAUU